CCUUUCAACUGUCUAGGAUGAUUCUAUAUCUCUGAAAUCAUGAUUAAAAGAGGAUCACAAAAUUGAGAUGAUUUUUAAAAUGGUAUUCUUUGGUUAAUUGAGAUAUAUGAAAAAUGCAUGCAUGUGUAGUGGAUAUGGAUUUCGUAACCUUGGUACAGAAUAUGAGCAUGUUAGGAUGAGUUUUGAUUCAUAAAAGCCCAUGUGAGAUAUUUGAGCCAUGUCCCUUUUUCUUGGAGUGAUAAUUGAAAAAUAUAUUCUUAAUUUCUUGGCGAUAUUAAGUUUGAUGGACUAGAAAAUGCUAGAAUUCGCUCUUGUGCUUGUUGAGACGUUUGUCAAUACAUGGCCCUGAUUCUGGAAGGGAUAGAGGCAACCUAGGAAUUAUCACCAUUGCCAAAUAAGCAUGUGUCCCUAUUUGUGCCCGUCAUGGGACUCCCUUAGAUAAACCCCUUUGAGCUUACAUUAAGCCUUUUCUUUCAUCACCCUUAAAUCCUUAACCCUGAACCUUAGUAUAGCUACACUCCUACCCUUUGUUCUAAAAACUUAGCGGAGCUAUAUUUUGGGACUUUACUUGAGGAUUUGGCAUUGAGAAAGAAAAUUGAGAAGAGGUGAAAGUUCAAGUGUGGGGGUAGACUUGUCCAUAAAGAAAAAAAUAUGUGAAAGCCGUGAAAAAUGAAAAGAAAAAAUUGUGUACGGCUAGAAAAGAAAAGAAAGAAAAAUGUUUAUGGAUUUUAG
rnacentral:lncRNA from 1 species